ACACCUUCUAGCUUCUCUUACAGCUGUGAAUUCUUCUCUGGAUGAUGAUCAUAAAUACACCUUUCCAUUUCCAAAUACAUAAUAUGAAAGGGUGCUUUGUUCCGUUGUAAUUGUCUCGUGCUCCAAGACUUGCAGUUGGAGUACCCCAAGUUCACGUCCCAUCAUGCUCUGGGGGAAACAAGGUAUUGUUGAUCAUCAUCUUGACAAGUUGUCCUGAGAAAGCAAAACAAAGAGAAGAAGACAUUUUAUGAUCUCAUCUCAAGGAAGUGAGGUCUCUUGAGUGAGUAGCCAGGAGCUUUCCUUCAGAGUUCCAGCAGAGUGACUUCGCAAGAAACAUGACCAACUCAGUGCCAGCACGGAGUACAGCCUGAAGUCAGAAACGGUGACAUGACAAGAGGUUCUUGUUUGUUUUAGCUAUCCUUUUUUUUUCAAUAUAGAGUUGCGUAUUGUUCUUUCAAGAUCUGUAAAGAAUUGUGUUGGAAUUUUGAUGGGAAUUGCACUGAAUCUGUAGAUUGCUUUUGGCCUCCUCAGGAAGGCAGGCAGGCAGAGCCAUGGACUGGAUGAUGGACAACAGGGGAGAGCAGAAGAUUCACCUCUGCUGGCUGUGCCAUAGGUAGACCUGGCAGGACAUAUAAAGGCUAUAUUGAUUUACUUACCUCCAAGUUUUGCCCUGAUGAAAAUGUCUGAUACUUUCCUGGAAUUCCAUCUCCUGUCCUGUUUUAGUUCUUCUGU